rnacentral:rRNA from 3 species
GACCUCGAAUCAGGUAGGAAUACCCGCUGAACUUAAGCAUAUCA